UACGUAGGGGGCGAGCGUUGUCCGGAAUUACUGGGCGUAAAGGGUGCGUAGGCGGCGCUUUAAGUCAGAUGUGAAAUACCCAGGCUUAACCUGGGGGGUGCAUUUGAAACUGGAGCGCUUGAGUGCAGGAGAGGAAAGUGGAAUUCCUAGUGUAGCGGUGAAAUGCGUAGAUAUUAGGAGGAACACCAGUGGCGAAGGCGACUUUCUGGACUGUAACUGACGCUGAGGCACGAAAGCGUGGGGAGCAAACAGG
rnacentral:rRNA from 1 species